CGCUCCUUAAUUAGACACUUGAGGCCUUUGCGACUUACAGUAGAGUUGUAAAAUGUGAAGAAAUGUCGCAGCACUUUUUCUAAUGACACCACAGAAGAAUACAGCUGUAACGUUACUCAUAUGAAACAUCCUGUGCUUAGUAUUUUUAGCACUGUUAGCUUCACCAUGGCAGCUGGUCAGAAGCCGAGCAAACACCUGAGCUGAGCCUUCACCUGGGUAAGAGACGAGGAUGAAGAGGAUAAAAACGUGCAGCCAAAAUAUGCAGUUCAAUGAAGUGGAAGAGCUCAAUUUCAGUGGGAAAUUAUAUCACUGCUGUUGAACAUUUUGCAGCCAUGAAGGGCGACAGUCUUCAAACGCUGCCGUCGGUCAAUCAUUGGGGAAAUGUUUCAGAAGAGCUCUAAACAUGAGAGAGGAAAUGAGCCGAGACGGAUGUGCCCAAAAACACACCGUGGGAGAUGGAAGCAAACGAGACAAAAGGCAGAAAUGAGGCUUUGGGUGAUCCAGACUGUUAGAGGAGAUGAGCCUCAAGAGUGACUGGAUGAGCUUCGCAAUGGAAGGAGGUGGAAUCAGUGGCUUUUAAGUGUUUAUAGAUUUUAUUGCUCUUUUUGAGUUGGUAAUCAAAGGUAGAUAUUAGCCCAAUUCAGCUCAGCAUCCACUCUUUGUUCUGUUUUGCUCUCUGUCAGCUAAACCUGCCUCUGCACCACUUUCCAUUUCCUCCAUCUACACCAUUAUGGUUUCAUUCAUAUCGCUUCUAUUUUCUGAUGCAUCAUAAAUGCCCUCCCGGCCUUGUCUCCCGCUGGGUUAUAAAAGAUUCAAUCACACUGCAACACAGA